GGGCAACCAAUUCCCUGGGGUUGGAGUUACAGAUAGUUAUGAGCAGCCUCGUGGGUGCUGGGAAUUAAACCUAGGUCCUUUGCAAGAACACAAAGUAUUUGUAACCACUGAGCAAUCUCUCCAGCAGCCCCCUCCCAUUUCCUUUGUAUUGUUAAGAGGAGUUUCAUAAGAGAAACUCAGAAGACAAGGGUGUGUGUGUGUGUGUGUGUGUUUGUGUGUGUGUGUGUGUGUGUGUGUGUGUGUGUGUGGUGUGUGUUUCCAUUUUCUGUAUUUGUGACAACAUGCCUAAUGCUGGCUAUUUUAUAAGCUCAUAAUUUUGGAUGUUGAAAAUCCAAGACCUAACAACUAUGCCUCUGGUGUCACAAUGUAGUGGCAUCUUGGCUUAUAAAACUGAGAGAUCUUACAGUUAAACAAAAGCCAAAGAGCAAGGAGAGAUAAAGUUUUUCUUGUGGCUGAAGCCUACCUGCCUGGAGCUUGCCUGGACUGGAUCAAUGGUUCUGCCAUCUAAAGAGAUUCAUUUGGCUUCAACCCCCAAUUGUGUGUUUACUCUUCAUGUCCCAGUCUAAAACUAGGGGGACAGCACCUAUGUCAGAGGAUUGGCACGAUCAUGAAGGACCUCUACGGUGCUUGCCUUUAUUGCAUUGUCCUGGCAUCACAGUUGUAUUUACUGUUAGCGGAUCAUGAAUCCCUGGAGGGCAAAGCCCUUGUUUUACCACAUACAGCAGUAACCACUAUAUUAAUGCUUAUGAGAGUAAAUGUGAAGUCCAUUCUGACCCCUUCACUCUGGUGAGAUGCUCAGAUAGCGUCUGUGUCACCCCAAUUCUUCGUGCUCUGCCUUUGCCAUUUCUUUACAUAACACCAGUGGUUUCCCGCCUCCCAAAAUAGACUAAUUCAAUUAUUCUGUAUUUAUCAGUUAGAACCAAUGGAAUGAAAAUAAGCUGCCAUAGCACAAAACCCCCAGAUGUUUGGGGUUAGUUUUCUAACACAGUGUUCAACUAUUUUACUUAUUUAAUGUUUUUUUUUCUUAAGAAACAAAACAAAACCAGUCUGCCCUGGGAUUUGGAAAUAGGAUCCGAUUCUCUUGGAGCCUCCCGCUCACUGCUGGGAGCCGUGUGGGCAUGAGGGACAGACAGGUAAUGGGAAACAGCUGCUUGGCCCAUGUCGACUCCCAAGCCCCAAAUUGGUGAUGAGGUGCCGAAGACAAAGGACAGGCAGUGAUGGCUUGGCUGGGGGGUUCUGUGAUCAACAGUUAAACUCUGAUGGAGUGAAGCAGAGUCUGCCUGCCUGGGCAGCCUCUGGUAUUAGCAGCAGUAAGUACAUACCCAGAGAGAUGAGCCUGACAGGCCCAGCCUGGCCUCCAUGCCUCUGAUGCUGGGAGAACAUCCCUAGCAGGCACUGAUGCUCUGGACCGCUCAUCCCAAGGUCCUGUCCUGCAGUGACCUGCUCACUCCCCUCCAUGAUGCUGCAAUAUGACAUGACCCCAAACAGCAGGCACAGCCAACUUUGGAAGACACCAUUUAGAUUAGGAACCAAGAAUUUCUUAUGAAGGGCCAGGAAGUAGGAAAAGAAUUGACGCUGCACAGAGAAGGUGGGUUUUGGUGUUAGUGCUCAAUGGUGCUCUUAUGGUUAUGUAAGCAGCCAUAGAUAACAUGUAAACGACUGGGCACAUCUAUUUACAGAAGCGUGUGGUGCUGGAUAGGGUCCACGACAUUUAUUUUGUUGGGCUUCUUGCUUCCUCAUUGGCCUCUCUGCUCAAACCCCAUGUGGUUUCUCACUCCCUCAGUAUGAAACCCAACUCCUGAGUGUGGACAGGAUGACCUGUAGGGCUGACUUUGCUUGCCCCUCUACCGUUGUUUAGGGAUCCCUAGCCCCAUGCCCAACCCAUUCCUUCCCCAAGUCCUGUGCGCAGCUGCUUCCUUAAGUACAGAAGGCCCCUGGUCCCUACUUCCCCUUUCAUAUGCUUCAUAUAUCCCCACUCAGCACAAACGCCAUUUCCUCAGAAAGACCCUUCCUCCAACACAUUAGAACAAGUGACCAUCCCCCACGUCCUGGUCAGGAGUUACCACGGCACCCAGUUUUAUUUUCUGCAUGGCACUUACCACUGCAGGGAAAGAUCUUCCCGUGGUUCUGUUUAUAUUCUUCACCCCCAUCAGCUCCAGGAGGACAGCAGCAGACUCUGUCUCUGGUGCCUCUGGCCCACACAGUUGGGGUACAGGAAGUAUGUGAGAGUGACCCGCUAUCUCCCUUGGCCUGUCAGUCUCUCUGUUCUCUCAACCACGUUGCUGAUAGAGCGUCUUUCAAAAAUGAAGACCCCGACCUCAGCCCAUUUCUACACUGAGUACUCUUAGACUAACAUUCAGACUCCCACCAUUGCCCCAGAGAUGCUGUAAAGAGGACCCCCUGCCUCCUGUCUGCAGACCAUAAUCCCUUCCUGAAGAGGAGGAUGCCUGUAUGUCUACUGGUGUGGCCCCAAAGGACACCUCUUGGCAAUGGAUGUGUUAUUGCAUUGAUAACAGACAACGGGUGAUGUUCCAGGAAAUUCUCUUCGAACAAAAGAAUUGGGGCUGCAGACACCUGACGCAUGAGUGUCUGGGAAGACCAGGAAGGAGCCUGACUGUUGAACCUAGAGCUGUUUGUCCUGCAGAUGGGGAAAUGGGUUCUUCAUUCAUCCGUUUCUCAUGUACCCACAAGGCGCCUGCGGUCUCAAGGAUGCAUCAGACAGAAACAUUCUCCACGAUUAGAGAAGAGAACCCAUUUUGAACAAGGUGAUGGUUCUUCUCAGUUGUCAACUCGAGAUCUAGAGUCACCUGGGAAGCAGGUCUCUGGGCAUGCUGUAAGGUUCAUCAAACUGGGAAGGCGCUCCCACUGUGGAUGGCACCAUCCCCUGGACUGAGAUCCUUCUGUAUAAAAUGGAGAAAGUGAGCUGAGCACACUGAGAGCUAUGAUGUAACCAGCUGCUUCCUGCUGCUAUGACUUCCCAACAAUACCCUGGAACCUGAUGCUGAGAGCCAGGAUCAACCACAGCAACAGGGAAAGUCCAGGAUCACACAGCACAUCCAUCCAUCUCAUGUGAAGCCUUCCCACUUGGGUUUGACUGACAGUUCCUGAGGAUUCAGUUGAGAUUAUGCCUGUUUUGGACGGAAGACCACCAAAGUGACAUGGACUUUCAGUGUGAGGUGGCAGGAGGCACAUGGUGAUAACUUUGUGUGUUUAGGGAGGACUCUCCUUGGCUGAUCCACUAUGAAAUCAAUGAAUGUUUCCUUUUGGUAACGACUAUGCCAUUUGUUGGGAAAAGAGGUAGCAUUUUUAUUGUACACAUAUUUGGGCCCUAUUUCAUUGUACCAUUCACGGGCAAUUUCCUUUAUCUUUGCUUCUGUGUACUACUUGUAGGUUAGUCAGCUUUCUGUUAUGUGACAAAAUAUCUGAAAAGAAAGGUUAAUUUUAGCUCAUGGCUUCAGAAGUAACAGUCCACGGUCACUUGGCCCCAUUGCUUUGGGCCCAUCAUAAGAUGUGAUCUCAAAGAAGAAACAUAUGGCGCAGACAACCUAUUUGCCUCAUGGUGGGAGGAAAGCAGGGUGAUGGGCCGGGUCUUUCCAUGAGGCCUUGCUCCUAAAGGUCCCACUGCUGCCCAAUGGCACCACAGUCCGAGGGCCAAGCCUUCACCCACACAGGUUCACUGAAUCAAAUCUACAGCCCAGAAGUCGGUGUUUUACUGUGAGAAGAGGCUUUUUUCCAUUCACACUUCUUCCUUCCUUCCUUCCUUCAUUUCUUUUUUUUCAAGACAGGGUUUCUCUGUGUAGCUUUGUAGACCAGAUUGGCCUCGAACUUAGACAUCUGCCUGCCUCUGCCUCCCAAGUGCUGGGAUUAAAGGUGUGCACCACCACCACCUGGCUAUCACACUUAUUUCUAUAAUCAUACAGCUACAUAAUCAUAGAUUUAAACCUUAUUAAUAGUUUAUAUCACUACAAUCAGAUUCAUCUCAAAGCA